UUCAACGGCAGCGUCAUCGGUUCUUCCGGCAACGGAAGAGGAAAGAGGGAAUGCGGUGAGGCCGGAUGGCCGACUCCGCGGCUGCCCCCGCAACUGUGAGCGGUGAGCGAGGCCGACAUGCCACUGGGCGCCCUGCCCGGGAAGGCCGGCCGAAGCUGUGAUCCGCGAGCCAGGAGACCUGCCGCUGGCGCGCGGGGAGC
rnacentral:ncRNA from 2 species